AAUCAUUUGCAACCAACCACCCCAUAUGGACGCAACCUGAUUUGAGAGGCUUUGAAAAACUGGGAAGGUGGAGCCACUGCACCUUCUCAACAAGACUAGAGAGAGGAGCAAGUAGGCCCAAAUGCACAUUGGUUGUGGUGGUUAAAGCGGAGCUGGUACGCUAGAAACUUCCCUCUUAGUUUCUCCUAUCUACUUUUUUUUUUACUUUCUUUUCCUCAUUUCUUCUUUGAAAUGGAGCUGUUUGCCGGUAGCCACGAAAAAUAUAACAAGGGCCCUCUAGAUAGCUUCCGUCCAAAUUCCGAAAGGACAGCUCUGUCUCCAUGCUCCAUGAUGCCUUAGGUUUUAGGCAAACCUUAUUGAAUAGCUGGGACAAAGCAGAAAUGAGGAUCAUCUUUGUGAACAUAUUUUCCUGAUGUUCCAACUAUGAACAGGGAUAAUUAUUUGACGGGGUUAAUUGGUUAUUUCAUCUGAGAAAAAGAUGAUAUUCUCAACCCAAUAGCAUGCCGCGUCAUUGAGUGGUUGUGGUGGCUUGCGCCUAGUGGGAAAAUCUGGGGGAGAUCGCAUAUCAGAAAUUUUAGCAUUAGUCUUAUGUAUCUCUUUUUCCUUUUUGUAUCACUUAAAAAACUUGUCAAGGACGGGCUACGGGCUUUAGGUUUGAUACCAUAUAUUGGAGAGUCCCUCGACUGUUUCAAAUUCCCAGCUCAAGAAGAAACCGACUUUCACAUUACAUCACUUUUGUUGCACCGUUAAAGCUGUGGGGUUUGGCACCAUAUGAAAAGAUUCGAAAGUUGCUGUCAUUAGAGCAGGGCAACACUCAUAAUCACUUCACGCCACUCAUGAUGACUCAUGUCACACAAGCUGCCUCCACUUGUAGUCACCACCAUCCCCAGCUUUCGGUCAUAUUCGUUUCUCCCAUUUCUCCUCACUUGAUCAUGGAUUUUGAAAAGGAUGCUUGGGGACACGUCCCUGUUUUCUCAAGCUUGAUUCAGUGUCCCAGCUGACAUCCAAUCCAUCUUUUCUGCAAGCAUAACUCAGGUCUGCAUCAGAUUGCCUACCGAGAAAAGGAAUCGAGUCAAGUUCAGCUUAUGGUUGCUGUAAUUCUUUACGUCGGUAGUCAAUUGUGAUAGGAUGGUGCCAGAGUUCAACAUUCGGUCCUUUGCAAGGACAAAAUAUAUAAAUAAUGAAUGUAGGGUUUCCAAUGCAAUUAUGAAAUACGAAUAGUAGAAGGAGUGAGUUGAAUAACAAGAACAAGACAAAAUAGGCUAGGGUUGGUUAAGAUCUCUUGGGAAAGAACCUAGAAAAUCUACAGCAAAUGAGGAUAUAUAGGACAAUUAGUUUACAGGGCUGCAAGGACAAGGGGAAGACUAGAUGUGAUGUGGAUAGAAAACAAUAUGCUGCCAUGUAUAGAAAUAUAUCUAUAUAUCUGUGUGGCUGUGUAUCAGUGCAUGUGAAGAAGAAUCCCAAAAACCUUUUUCCAAAAAAUAAAGUAUUGUAUAUGGAAAUAACAGGUUUCAUAUAUAAUUGGAAAAAGAACUGAAACAAAGAACUAUUUAUCCUUCUCGUCUAAUUUAUCAACCAUUAUGACAAUGUAAACUCCACCAUUGCGUUAUAGAAAGAAACCAUAGAAUAAUGGAUUACAAUUUAGUACCAGGCGGAAGUUUGGCCCACCAUAAGAUGAUCUCAGGAUACCAAGGCCAGUGGAAAGGUUACUGAACAACCUCUCAGACUUCGAUAGCAAUGAUGGUUCUCUAUCACAGAGGUCUAGGUCUCUUUUAUUCAUGCAGCAAGUCAGCAACCAUCACUGGGAAAGUACAGUUGUAGGAAUCCUCUUCCAUAUCAUAUCAUCUACUGCAUUUCCAGCAAGUCAGGGAAAUACAAGCAUUAACCUCAACUCAAGCCACCAACUUUAGCUGGUACUGAAAAAGAUUGUUUGCCAAUCUGGGUCGACCGCACAUCAGUCAUCAUGCCCAUUAAUUUGUUCUUUCCCUCCUCAAAUCGCAAAUGGUCAUUCUUUCUACUCUCUUCAAACCGUGCCAUUUGCACUUGAGACCCACGAGACAUUGUCCUACCAGCUGCAUCUCCCAUCACUCUGACUGUACUAUUUUCCAACCCACUUUUGAGCCAAGCAAUAUUACUAAUAUCAGUGGCUAUUGCAGCCAACUCAAAACUUGAAAAUGGAGGAGGCUCUGAAAAUUCCACAAAUUCAGGCCCCAACAAAGAGUUUCCAAGAUUCCCACCUCUAGGACUCUCACAGCAACCAUGUCCACAUCGUUGAGGCACCAAUUGUUCACCUGAAUCUCCUUGAAUCAAUUUGCAGAUCCCGGCAUCAGGUGUUGAUGCUUGAAUCAAAGGCCCCUGCAUAGGAACUGGCCGUGGAAAUGGAAAUGCAUGUUCUGGGCCAUCAAGAGAACUGUAAACAUUAAACGCACUGACACGUGCCACAGGACGGAAAAGGGUAGGUGGAUCUUGUGCUUCAUGACUAAAUUGACCCUCAAUUUGUGCCCUUUCUUCAUUCUGAUCAGCCAUGUUAUCUGAAGAGUUGACAUCUUUUCCUUCCAAGGAUUUGGAUGAAUUGGCAUCCCCACAUGACAUAGUUUCUUCAGAUGAUGCUUUGGUUUUGUCCAAGCUAACAUCCUCCACUAUAUUGCCAGAUUCCAACUUAGCCCUGUCAAUCUCCAUACACCGGCGCCUCAGAGUGGAAUUCCAGUGGUUUUUAAUUGCAUUAUCUGUUCUCCCUUGAAGAAGCCUUGCAAUUGAUGCCCAU
rnacentral:lncRNA from 1 species